rnacentral:tRNA from 1 species
GGGGGUGUAGCUCACUGGUAGAGCACACCCUUACCGUGCACAAGGUGCUGGGUUCAAUCCCCGGUACCUCCA